rnacentral:rRNA from 1 species
UACGGAGGGUGCAAGCGUUAUCCGGAUUCACUGGGUUUAAAGGGCGCGUAGGCGGUCCGCCAAGUCAGGGGUGAAAUCCUGCAGCUUAACUGUAGAAGUGCCUCUGAUACUGGCGGUCUUGAGGGAGAUAGGGGUGUGCGGAACUUCCAGUGGAGCGGUGAAAUGCGUUGAUAUUGGAAGGAACGCCGGAGGCGAAAGCGGCGCACUGGAUCUCUACUGACGCUGAGGCGCGAAAGCCAGGGGAGCAAACGGG